rnacentral:rRNA from 1 species
UUCCUACGGGGGGCAGCAGUGGGGAAUAUUGGGCAAUGGGCGAAAGCCUGACCCAGCGACGCCGCGUGGGCGAUGAAGGCCUUCGGGUCGUAAAGCCCUGUCAUGCGGAAAGAAUAGUUUCGCGGUAAAUAAUCGCGAGACCUGACGGUACCGCAGGAGGAAGCACCGGCUAACUCCGUGCCAGCAGCCGCGGUAAUACGGAGGGUGCAAGCGUUGUUCGGAAUGAUUGGGCGUAAAGGGCGCGUAGGCGGUUAUGUAAGUCAGUUGGUAAAUACUUUGGCUCAGCUGAAGAACUGCAUCUGAUACUGCAUAACUAGAGUACGGGAGAGGGAAACGGAAUUCCCGGUGUAGAGGUGAAAUUCGUAGAUAUCGGGAGGAACACCAGUGGCGAAGGCGGUUUCCUGGCCUGGUACUGACGCUGAGGCGCGAAAGCGUGGGGAGCAAACAGGAUUAGAUACCCUGGUAGUCAG